AACGCGAAGAACCUUACCAGUCCUUGACAUGUCCACUAUGGGUCUGAGAGAUCAGAUCCUUCACUUCGGGUGGGUGGAACACAGGUGCUGCAUGGCUGUCGUCAGCUCGUGUCGUGAGAUGUUGGGUUAAGUCCCGCAACGAGCGCAACCCUCAUCUUCAGUUGCCCCCGGGUCAGGCCGGGCACUCUGAAGAAACCGCCGGUGACAAGCCGGAGGAAGGCGGGGAUGACGUCAAGUCCUCAUGGCCCUUACGGACUGGGCUACACACGUACUACAAUGGUGGUGACAAUGGGCAGCGAAAGCGCAAGCUGGAGCCAAUCCCCAAAAACCAUCUCAGUUCAGAUUGCACUCUGCAACUCGAGUGCAUGAAGUUGGAAUCGCUAGUAAUCGCAGAUCAGCACGCUGCGGUGAAUACGUUCCCGGGCCUUGUA
rnacentral:rRNA from 1 species